rnacentral:rRNA from 1 species
UACGAAGGGGGCUAGCGUUGUUCGGAAUUACUGGGCGUAAAGCGCGUGUAGGCGGGUCUUUAAGUCAGGGGUGAAAUCCUGGAGCUCAACUCCAGAACUGCCUUUGAUACUGAGAAGCUUGAGUCCGGGAGAGGUGAGUGGAACUGCGAGUGUAGAGGUGAAAUUCGUAGAUAUUCGCAAGAACACCAGUGGCGAAGGCGGCUCACUGGCCCGGUACUGACGCUGAGGCACGAAAGCGUGGGGAGCAAACAGG